AGCAGCCGCCGCGGUAAUACGUAGGGCGCAAGCGUUAUCCGGAAUUAUUGGGCGUAAAGAGCUCGUAGGCGGUUUGUCGCGUCUGCCGUGAAAGUCCGGGGCUCAACCCCGGAUCUGCGGUGGGUACGGGCAGACUAGAGUGAUGUAGGGGAGACUGGAAUUCCUGGUGUAGCGGUGAAAUGCGCAGAUAUCAGGAGGAACACCGAUGGCGAAGGCAGGUCUCUGGGCAUUAACUGACGCUGAGGAGCGAAAGCAUGGGGAGCGAACAGGAUUAGAUACCCCUGUAGUCCCUGUCUCUUAUAC
rnacentral:rRNA from 1 species